rnacentral:rRNA from 1 species
GACGAACGCUGGCGGCGUGCCUAAUACAUGCAAGUAGAACGCACAGUUUAUACCGUAGCUUGCUACACCAUAGACUGUGAGUUGCGAACGGGUGAGUAACGCGUAGGUAACCUGCCUGGUAGCGGGGGAUAACUAUUGGAAACGAUAGCUAAUACCGCAUAAUAUUAAUUAUUGCAUGAUAAUUAAUUGAAAGGUGCAAUUGCACCACUACCAGAUGGACCUGCGUUGUAUUAGCUAGUAGGUGAGGUAACGGCUCACCUAGGCGACGAUACAUAGCCGACCUGAGAGGGGGAUCGGCCACACUGGGACUGAGACACGGCCCAGACUCCUACGGGAGGCAGCAGUAGGGAAUCUUCGGCAAUGGACGAAAGUCUGACCGAGCAACGCCGCGUGAGUGAAGAAGGUUUUCGGAUCGUAAAGCUCUGUUGUAAGAGAAGAACGGGUGUGAGAGUGGAAAGUUCACACUGUGACGGUAUCUUACCAGAAAGGGGCGGCUAACUACGUG